UACGGAGGGUGCAAGCGUUGUCCGGAAUCACUGGGCGUAAAGGGCGCGUAGGCGGCUCGGUAAGUAGGGGGGUGAAAUCCUGCGGCUUAACCGCAGGGCUGCCUUCUAAACUGUCGAGCUCGAGCACGGUAGAGGCAGAUGGAAUUCCCGGUGUAGCGGUGAAAUGCGCAGAUAUCGGGAGGAACACCGGUGGCGAAGGCGGCGACCUGGGUCGAUACUGACGCUGAGGCGCGAAAGCGUGGGGAGCAAACAGG
rnacentral:rRNA from 1 species